UGGGGAAUAUUGGACAAUGGGCGCAAGCCUGAUCCAGCAAUGCCGCGUGUGUGAAGAAGGCCUUCGGGUUGUAAAGCACUUUUAUCAGGAACGAAAUACCACGGGUUAAUAACCUAUGGGGCUGACGGUACCUGAGGAAUAAGCACCGGCUAACUUCGUGCCAGCAGCCGCGGUAAUACGAAGGGUGCAAGCGUUAAUCGGAAUUACUGGGCGUAAAGGGUGCGUAGGCGGUUAGUUAAGUCUGUCGUGAAAUCCCCGGGCUCAACCUGGGAAUGGCGAUGGAUACUGGCUAGCUAGAGUGUGUCAGAGGAUGGUGGAAUUCCCGGUGUAGCGGUGAAAUGCGUAGAGAUCGGGAGGAACAUCAGUGGCGAAGGCGGCCAUCUGGGACAACACUGACGCUGAAGCACGAAAGCGUGGGGAGCAAACA
rnacentral:rRNA from 1 species